AGCUCCAUUAGCGUAUAUUAAAGUUGUUGCAGUUAAAAAGCUCGUAGUUGGAUUUCGGUGUGGGCCAGUCGGUCGGCCGCAAGGCUUGUUCACUGGCUGGUCUGCUCUCUCAAUCUCAAAGACUGCACGUGCUCUUCACUGUAGUGUGUGUCAGGAUUUGGGACGUUUACUUUGAAAAAAUUAGAGUGUUCAAAGCAGGCUAUCGCUUGAAUACAUGAGCAUGGAAUAAUGGAAUAGGACUUUGGUCCUAUUUUGUUGGUUUCUAGGACCGAAGUAAUGAUUAAGAGGGACAAUUGGGGGCAUCCGUAUUUCGUUGUCAGAGGUGAAAUUCUUGGAUUUACGAAAGACGAACAACUGCGAAAGCACUUGCCAAGAGUGUUUUCAUUAAUCAAGAACGAAA
rnacentral:rRNA from 1 species